AAGAGACAGCAGUAGCCACGGUAAUACGAAGGGUGCAAGCGUUAAUCGGAAUUACUGGGCGUAAAGCGUGCGUAGGCGGUGAGUUAAGUCUGCUGUGAAAUCCCCGGGCUCAACCUGGGAAUGGCAAUGGAUACUGGCAAGCUAGAGUGUGUCAGAGGAUGGUGGAACUCCCGGUGUAGCGGUGAAAUGCGUAGAGAUCGGGAGGAACAUCAGUGGCGAAGGCGGCCAUCUGGGACAACACUGACGCUGAGGCACGAAAGCGUGGGGAGCAAACAGGAUUAGAUACCCGAGUAGUCCCUGUCUCUUAUAA
rnacentral:rRNA from 1 species